rnacentral:tRNA from 1 species
GUGGUUGUGGCUUAAUGGUAGAGUACUCAGCUAGCAUAUGUGAGGCACUGGGUUCAAACCUCAGCACCACA